rnacentral:rRNA from 1 species
UUGCACCUCUUGAGAGCGGCGGACGGGUGAGUAAUGCCUAGGAAUCUGCCUGGUAGUGGGGGAUAACGCUCGGAAACGGACGCUAAUACCGCAUACGUCCUACGGGAGAAAGCAGGGGACCUUCGGGCCUUGCGCUAUCAGAUGAGCCUAGGUCGGAUUAGCUAGUUGGUGAGGUAAUGGCUCACCAAGGCGACGAUCCGUAACUGGUCUGAGAGGAUGAUCAGUCACACUGGAACUGAGACACGGUCCAGACUCCUACGGGAGGCAGCAGUGGGGAAUAUUGGACAAUGGGCGAAAGCCUGAUCCAGCCAUGCCGCGUGUGUGAAGAAGGUCUUCGGAUUGUAAAGCACUUUAAGUUGGGAGGAAGGGCAGUAACCUAAUACGUUGCGGUCUUGACGUUACCGACAGAAUAAGCACCGGCUAACUCUGUGCCAGCAGCCGCGGUAAUACAGAGGGUGCAAGCGUUAAUCGGAAUUACUGGGCGUAAAGCGCGCGUAGGUGGUUUGUUAAGUUGGAUGUGAAAUCCCCGGGCUCAACCUGGGAACUGCAUUCAAAACUGACAAGCUAGAGUAUGGUAGAGGGUGGUGGAAUUUCCUGUGUAGCGGUGAAAUGCGUAGAUAUAGGAAGGAACACCAGUGGCGAAGGCGACCACCUGGACUGAUACUGACACU